UACAGAGGUCUCAAGCGUUGUUCGGAUUCAUUGGGCGUAAAGGGUGCGUAGGUGGCUUGGUAAGUCGGAUGUGAAAUCCCGGGGCUCAACCCCGGAACUGCAUUCGAUACUGCCAGGCUGGAGUACUGGAGAGGAGAUUGGAAUUUACGGUGUAGCAGUGAAAUGCGUAGAUAUCGUAAGGAAGACCAGUGGCGAAGGCGGAUCUCUGGACAGUUACUGACACUGAGGCACGAAGGCCAGGGGAGCAAACGGG
rnacentral:rRNA from 1 species